rnacentral:rRNA from 1 species
GAUGAACGCUAGCGAUAGGCCUAACACAUGCAAGUCGAGGGGCAUCACGGAGUAGCAAUACUUUGGUGGCGACCGGCGCACGGGUGAGUAACGCGUAUGCAAUCUACCUACAACAGGGGGAUAACCCGGAGAAAUCCGGACUAAUACCGCACAACACAGGGGUCCCGCAUGGGAAUAUUUGUUAAAGAUUUAUCGGUUGUAGAUGAGCAUGCGUUCCAUUAGGUAGUUGGUGAGGUGACGGCCCACCAAGCCUGCGAUGGAUAGGGGAACUGAGAGGUUUGUCCCCCACACUGGAACUGAGACACGGACCAGACUCCUACGGGAGGCAGCAGUGAGGAAUAUUGGUCAAUGGGCGAGAGCCUGAACCAGCCAAAUCGCGUGAAGGAAGACUGCCUUAUGGGUUGUAAACUUCUUUUGUACAGGAAUAAAAAUAGGGACGUGUCCUUCAUUGCACGUACUGUACGAAUAAGCAUCGGCUAACUCCGUGCCAGCCGCCGCCGUAA